CCCUCCCCUUUUCUGAUCCACCAAAUAUAGAAAUUCAAAGGGCUCCUCCCACAUCAGAAGCAAAGGGUAUCAGCAUAUGUAUCAGUAAACAGAGAGAAAAACAGCUGUCUGGCAGACACUGAGCUAAUGCGAAACCUCAAAGUUAACCUGAAACUGAAAUCCCUGAUAAUCAGGUGAAGUGCUUAGACCUGCUGUGGGACAGUGUUGCUGUGAAAGAGACUACCCAGCCUGCACUCGCUGUGAGGUUCCCCCACUGAGAGCUGGGUGGAACCUCAAGAAACCGAAUUGCAGAGGUCACAGUGACAAGUGACUGCACAGGGCCAUCAGUGAUGGAGCCGUGGAAUGAAUGGUGGCACCAUGAACAACAGCAUCCAGAAUGGCUGCUUGUGCAUUUGAUGGAGCUGCAAACUUCUCUGGAAGACACUGGAAUACAAACUUUGCUCAGAGAAAAGUGUAAUCCUAAUCUCUACUAUACACACUGCAGAGGAUCUAUUCCAAUUUACACUAGUACAAGCUGCAGAAUCUUCAAAAGAUACUAAAAAGCCAUACAUUUAAUGUCUUUGUUAUACUGUUUUUUCAGCAAGAGUCCAAAAGGACUGAAUGUCUUGGGAAAAAUAGAAGAUACACUGGGACUGAUGUUCAAAUUAGUCCAACCUGGGAAAACCCUGAACUUUCUCAUGACUGAUCCUUAGCUGUUGUUUUAAAAUUACUGCAACUAUUAUUACUGGCUUGGGAAAGUACUGUGAAAGUAGAAUGAAUUAUAUUGUAAAAAUAAGAAUGUAUUAAAGAAAUGUUGUAUGUACCUUUAAGCAGAAAUCAGAAAUGUUGAAAUACAGGUGCCAGGAAAAGAAACAAUAGGCAUAAACAAUGGUGCUAAUGGCAAAACAUUAACAGAAGAUCGGUAAUAGUUAGUAAGGAAAUAAGAUAUGCAUGCCCAGCCCAGGUAAACUUAUCAGAUUCUGCUUCCUUUGUUAUCUUGUUAAGUUCUCGCCCUUUUAUCUGUAUAAAUAAGAUAGUUUGUGUCUUGCAUGGUGCUCCCAUUAUCUGGGUGUUAUUAGCAGA